rnacentral:lncRNA from 1 species
CAGGAUACUUAUUUGAAUUGCUGGCCAACAAAGUUCCUGAGGAAGUGAUGUCUGAGAUAAUUAGCCCCUGAGUGUAGAAAUAUUGGGAGGAAGGGCCUGGCGGUACCUGAACAUUUGAGACUGGGGCAAGAGCAUGGGAGACAGUAGGAUGGAGCUUGGAGAUACUAGGAGGAUCAGAAGGGGCAGAUCAUAAUGGAAAAUAGAUUCUUAUACAAUACAUCCUUACCACAGUUUCCCCUCUAUCUACUCCUCCCAGCUACCCCAACCUCCUUUCUCUCCAGAUCUACUCCCCCUGUUUCCUCUUCAGAAAAGAGCAGGCCUCCAAGAGAAAACAGUCAAACAAAAUCCAAACAGAAAAAAAUCAAGAUACGUUAAGACAAGUUGAAAGCCCUCAUAGGAGGAAAAGAGUCCCAAGAACAGGCAAAAGAAUUAGAGAUACACCAGUUUCCAUUCUGAGGAGUUCAACAGGAACACCAAGCUAACAGCCAUAACAUGUAGAGGACCUGAUGCAGACCCAUGCAGGCCCUGCGCUUGCCACUUUAGUUUCUGUGAGCCUAGGUUGUGGUGGUGCAUACUAGUAGGAUUUGCUGAAGGAGGCAGAGGCAGGAGGAUUAAAAGCCUCUUAGAUUUAAAGGAGUUUGGUUUUAUUUACCAUACUCUAAUGAGAGUUUUUAAACAAGGAGUGACUUCAACCUGUUAGUAAUGUUACUUUCAACAGAUUAUCCUAAUUUUUCUACAAAGAACAGGGGCCAGAGAGAAAAUUGGAUAACUGAUUAUAAUUUGGGUGAUAAUGGUAUUUAGAUGAGGUCAGACCUUCAAACAGGUAAUAGGACUCUAGCUGGCAAAUUCUGUGGAAGGAAGAAGGAGCCAUGCUAACGUUAAGGUGUUUUGGUUUUUUAGUUUGUUCGUUUGUUUUACACAGAUGGGCAAAUGGCAGGAAAGGUUCCUGAGGAUAUUUAGGUUGGGUGCUGGGGGUGAGUGGAUGGAGGAAAUGAAGAGGUCUGUUUUGUGAGUAGGGUAUAGCUUAGUGGUAAAAGUAGAACCUUCAGUUUGAUCUCUAACUCCCAACGAAAACUAAACCCAAAAGAACCUCUUUUGAUCACAUUAAGCUACAAUGACUCUCUUGGUGUUUUAUUUAAUUUUGUUUUGUUUUGUUUUGUUUUUGAGACAGGGUUUCUCUGUGUAGCCUUGGCUUGCCUGGAACUUAUUUUAUAGACCACGCUGGCAUCAAACUCAUAGAGAUCCACUGUCUCUGCCUCCGGAGUGCUGGAAUUAAGGGCAUGCACCACCACACCCAGCUGCUACAAUGACAUUUAAGUUGCCAGAACGAGACAGACUUACUAAGUAAUCCACUAGACAUACUCAUAUGUAUGGUUUUGAGGCAUUAAGGAAGCUAACUUUAUAUGUAUUUAAAACAAAUUAGUUAGAGGUUUAUUGAAGCCUUGUUGGACUUCCUAUAUAAUUUUUCCUAAGUCCUAAUUACUACCUCUCAGAUGUCAUGUUUUUGCUUCUGUUAAAUAUUUGUGAUGUUUAACCUAACUUAAAAAAUAAUCAUUAAUAUUUCACAAACCAGAAUGUGGUAUUUAUGUACAAAUAUGUUGCUAAAGCUAUUAUGACUUAAACAUUUGCAAUGUGCUCUAUUCAAAUUUUGUAUUUGAAUAAAAGUUCUAAGCUAUAUAUCUUUUGAAAACUUUUUAGGAGAUAUAUGCUUAGAAAGGAAAUCAGAAUCAGAA